rnacentral:rRNA from 1 species
UACGGAGGGGACUAGCGUUGUUCGGAAUUACUGGGCGUAAAGCGCACGUAGGCGGAUUGUUUAGUCAGGGGUGAAAUCCCGAGGCUCAACCUCGGAACUGCCUUUGAUACUGGCAAUCUCGAGUCCGGAAGAGGUGAGUGGAAUUCCUAGUGUAGAGGUGAAAUUCGUAGAUAUUCGGAGGAACACCAGUGGCGAAGGCGGCUCACUGGUCCGGUACUGACGCUGAGGUGCGAAAGCGUGGGGAGCAAACAGG